rnacentral:misc_RNA from 1 species
GAUGAAGAACGUAGCGAAACGCGAUAGGUAAUGUGAAUUGCAGAAUUCCGUGAAUCAUCGAAUCUUUGAACGCACAUUGCGCCCCUUGGUAUUCCAUGGGGCAUGCCUGUUCGAGCGUCAUUUGUACCUUCAAGCCUUGCUUGGUGUUGGGUGUUUGUCUCGCCUCUGCGCGCAGACUCGCCUCAAAACAAUUGGCAGCCGGCGUAUUGAUUUCGGAGCGCAGUACAUCUCGCGCUUUGCACUCAGAACGACGACGUCCAAAAGUACAUUUUUACACUCUUGACCUCGGAUCAGGUAGGGAUACCCGCUGAACUUAAGCAUAUCAAUAAGCGGAGGA